rnacentral:rRNA from 1 species
GGACGGGUGAGUAACGCGUGGGUAACCUACCCCAAAGUCCGGGAUAACAGCGGGAAACCGCUGCUAAUACCGGAUGCCUUUACCUUGGGGCAUCUUGAGGUAAAGAAAGGUAACGCUUUGGGAUGGGCCCGCGUCCCAUUAGCUAGUUGGUGAGGUAACGGCUCACCAAGGCGACGAUGGGUAGCCGGCCUGAGAGGGUGGACGGCCACACUGGGACUGAGACACGGCCCAGACUCCUACGGGAGGCAGCAGUAGGGAAUAUUGCGCAAUGGACGGAAGUCUGACGCAGCGACGCCGCGUGAGCGAUGAAGGUCUUCGGAUCGUAAAGCUCUGUCCUUGGGGAAGAAGGCGAAAGCUUGACGGUACCCAAGAAGAAAGCCCCGGCUAACUACGUGCCAGCAGCUGCGGUAAUACGUAGGGGGCGAGCGUUGUCCGGAAUUACUGGGCGUAAAG